UUUAUUUUGGUUGGGAUCUGGUCACUCUGAUGGUGGAUCAUACUGUGUUUUAUAUCCUGUUCUGUUUCCAGUGUUUUACUAUGACGCUCUGGGGAGGAAGCAUGACAUGGCAUGAAAGAGGAAAAAAAAGAAAAAGAAAACACAAUAAACAAAGC